rnacentral:rRNA from 1 species
UACGUAGGGAGCAAGCGUUUGUCCGGAAUCAUUGGGCGUAAAGCGCGCGUAGGCGGCCCUGUAAGUCCGUUGUGAAAGUCAAAGGCUCAACCUUUGAAAGCCGAUGGAUACUGCAGGGCUGGAGUCCGGAAGAGGCGAGUGGAAUUCCUGGUGUAGCGGUGGAAUGCGCAGAUAUCAGGAGGAACACCAAUAGCGAAGGCAGCUCGCUGGGACGGUACUGACGCUGAGACGCGAAAGCGUGGGGAGCGAACAGG